GCCGCACCCGCAGCAUAUGAAGGUUCCCAGGCUAGGAGUCUAAUCGGAGCCACAGCAGCCAGUCUACGCCAGAGCCACAGCAACGCGGGAUCCGAGCUGCGUCUGUGACCUACCCCACAGCUCAUGGCAACCCCGGAUCCCCAACCCACUGAGCGAGGCCAGGGAUCGAACCCGCAACCUCAUGGUUCCCAGUUGGAUUCAUUAACCACUGAGCCACGACAGGAACUCCUAAAUUAUUUUUUUAUGGUGAAUAAAUUUCGACAGAUUUUUUUACUGUUUCAAAUUAAUUUUUAGGAUGAAACUCCAGGACUCUCCAACAGGCACUGCCGUUUAUCUGGUCCCUGAUCUGCCUUCCGGAGCGCGUCUCCUGAGGUCUCAUCUUCCUUUGAAAGGGGCACUUCUUCAAUGCCCGGGAGGUGCGGUUCUCUCACAGCGGGUGCCUGGCCUGUGACGUUAACUACUCACUCAUGACAUGUGCUCACUGAUCGAGCCGUGACCUUUUUAGUCAACUGCGUUAUUUUGGCUUCGUCACACGUAACAGCUAUAAACACCAUGUCACCAUUCUGUUGCUUCUUUUCAACUGAAUUAUGCUAUUUUUACUUUAUAGCAAUGAUUGCUUUUAAUAAAGUAUCGCAGAAUGGGAGAAAAUAGUUGCACAUGAUGCAACCAACAAGGGCUUAAUCUCCAAAAUAUACAAACAACUCAUACAGCUCAAUGACAAAAAAAAUCAACAGCCCAACUGAAAAACAGGCAUCAGACCUAAGAAGACAUAAGGAUGACCAGUAGGCACUUGAAAAAAUGCUCAACAUCACUCAUUAUUAGAGACGUGCAAAUCAAAACUACCACUAGGUGCCACCUCACACUGGUCAGAACAGCCAUCAUGACUAAGUCUACAAAAAGCAAAUGCUGGAGCGGGUGUGGAGAAAAGGGAACCCUCCUGCACUGCUGGUGGGACUGUAAACUGGUACAACCACUAUGGAGAACAGCGGGGAGCUACCUGAGAAAAACAAUACAGAACUAGCACACGAUCCAGCCAUCCCACUCCUGGGCACAUGUCCAGACAAAACUAUAAUGUAAAAAGGUACACGCACCCCUGUGUUCCCUCCAGCACUACUCACAACAGCCAGCCAAGACAUGGAAACAACCCGAAAGUACUGGAUAAGGAAGAUUCCAUACACACAAUGGAAUACUCCUCAGUCAUUAAAAAAAAACAAAAGACUGCCGUUCGCAGUAACGUGGAUGCAACUAGAGAUUCCCACACUAAGUGAAGUCAGGAAGAGGGAGACAGACAGCACGUGAGGUCCCAUCUAUGUGGAACCUCAAGUGGGGCACAAAUGAGCCUGUCUACACAAGAGAAACAGACUCACAGAGAACAGACUUGUGGUUGCCAACGGGGAGGGAGGCGGGCGUGGGACGGGUGAAGAGGUGGGGUUAGCAGAUCCAAACUGUUCUAUUUAGAACGGAUGCACAGUGAGGGCCUGCUGUACAGCACAGGGAACCAGUCCCAUCUCCCACAGACUAACAGGCCAAAGCCCCUCCCGCCUCAGGGACCCAUCGGCAGGGAGGGUUGCAGCGGCGAAGAAGUCCCUGCGGCAAGGACGAGACCUAAACAGCUUUCUCUGCAUCUCUUUUCUUCCCAUGUCACUUAUCUUACUUGAAGCUACUAACCCUAACCCUAACCCUAACCCUAACCCUAACCCCCUUGCCCUUCUAGAGAAGCUGUCUGGGUUGCUUCUGCAGUGUCCCUGAAAGGAAGGACCAGGGUGACAGCCUGGGCAAGGGCUGUGGAAACUCCUUAGACGAAGGCUGAAAAGGUGACGAAACUGAAUCAAGCAAUGAGAAAUCGACUUGAUUGAAAUUGAAUGAAACCUAAUUUUUAAAAAUAGAACAAGAGAGUUCCCGUCGUGGCUCAAUGUUUAACAAAUCCGACUAGGAACCAUGAGGUUGCGGGUUCGAUCCCUCGCCUCGAUCAGUGGGUUGGGGAUCCGGCAUUGCCGUGAGCUGUGGUGUAGGUCACAGAUGCGGCUCGGAUCCCGAGUUGCUGGGGCUGUGGUGUAGGCUGGCAGCUACAGCUUCGAUUCGACCCCUAGCCUGGGAACUUCCACAGGCCGCGAGUGAGGCCCUAAAAAGACAAGACCAAAAAAAUGUAAAAAAAAAAAAAAAACAAAUAAAUAAAAGGAUCCAGAAGGAAAACGUUUCUUUGUAAAUGCCAAGUAUCUGCAAACAGUUCUGAGGACCCAGGAGAAGUCCUGCAGGCGUGUGCAGAGAUCCUUGAGACUCUGCAUCAGCUGAGACCAGACAGAAACUCACACACAGCAGCCGACCACCCCGCGAACCACACGAGUACUGAGAGGCAUUGAAAUCACUCUGGCAGGAGGGGACCAAGAAAGACGGAAGGGCUCAGCCAGUGAAAAGAAGGAAGAGGGACCUUCAAAGGGGGUGUCAAUCAGUGUCUACACCCGCAGCCAUCCGGACCGGGGAGCAUCAACAGACAGAAACCACACCAGCCACCUGAAGGAGCUACCACACAAAGGACUGUGAACUAGGUGCCCAGAAAGGCGAAAAGGAUUAACACGGGCACCGCAGAUGCAGGAAGCAACCGCUACCCUUAGGAUCAGGGCAACCAAAGAAAGCAGCGGAGUUCUGGAGGCCCGGCCUCGGGUCGGCUGCUGGUGGCUGGGCUCUCGAAGCAAAGGCGGGCCCUAGGGGCGGGCCCGGGGAGCUGGGGUCUCUGCGAAAAUGCCCAGACCAGAAGACGCUUCCUGCCGCCAGGAGGAAGAGGGCUGCGGGAGUGUCCCUCAGAGAGAGAGGAAGCCAGCAGGAAGCCACCAGUCCUUUCUCCCUCUGCCAGCCCCUCCAGUCUCCAUCCGGUGCCCCCUUUAGGCAGAGCCCAACAGGGAGCAGAGGUGAGAGCCCAAACUGGGUGAUGCUGGGAUGAGGGGCAGGGGACGGACAGGAGGUCUGCUGCAUGGAGAAGGAUGCUCACACAGCCCGCACAUUCGGCACAGCGGGAGCCAGGCUCCGCACUGUCAGAAAAGGAAGUUACGGAUGAGGAAGACGACGAAACCCUCUAACAGUGGCUUAGAAGAGGAGGCGUCAGCCAGCGUGAACUCAUGGUUUCAAUAUACGUGGAUGCAGAAAACACACAGAUAAAUGGGUGGGAAGGUACCCAUGGAGCCUCCACUUUGUCUAUGGAGAAGCCCUGAGGCAGCAACACCCCAGCUGAGAGCGCAACUAGCGCCAGAUCUCGGCUCCCGAAUCCCAGUCUGCAGCCAAGGAACCAGGGCCAACUCCAGAGCUGGGCGGGAAAAGACGAGGAGCCAGGACACCUCGUCGUGCCUGAAAGUAAGAACGUGCUCGAAGGACAGUGAGCCAAGAUCGUGAUUGACAGUCACAGAGUAACCAGCCCGUUAAAUGAAGCAGAAUCGGCACACACGGAUAUUGAUCCACUACUACAUUAAAAACUGAUGAGAAAUGGGAUAUUGACACAAUUUCAAAGUGCAUCCAAACGAAACGCUUAUGGAUCAAAAGAGGACAAAGUGACUUUGUGUGACGCCAGGAAGACACCACCUAAGUGAUGAUGACAGAGUCAAACCCGGCAUCACCCUGAAGGACACAAGGAGAAAAAAGGUGUCAUUGCUGUGAUUUUCCUGCCAAACUUGAGUUUAAUCGCGACGAAAGCGGAGGGCAAGGGCAACUGAAGCAACGUUCUACCCUCCUGACCGGCCGCCAGGAGAGGCCGGGGGGCUGGGGACCCGCUGCGGCCCCUCCUACAGAGGGGGCGGGCGAGCCCAAGUCCUCCUCCUUCAGGCAGCGACGCCAGCACCACCCAAGGCCAAGGGCGAGGGCAGCGUGUCGGCAACACACCCGCAGACGCGAGACGGGGUUCCCUGCCCUGUUAUUUGCUACUUCUCUGUAAGAUCAAAGCGUUUCCCCAAACACUUCUAAGCUCUUUUUAAAGCUCAUCUGUGGCCACAGGGAGAGCGGGGUGAGCAAUGCCGCCCACCAGGGAGGUGACCAGGGAGGUGACGGGUGCUGGGGCGACGAGGACGGCCCGGAGGAGGAGGGAGGUGACGGGUGCUGGGGCGACGAGGACGGCCCGGAGGAGGAGGGCCGCAUGGGUUACAGUGACACUUCUGAGCGCAGUCGCCUGUGGCCUGGGGUGAAACAAGGGGAGACUCCAGGAUGCCUGCGGGGUCAUCCUGAGCGCCUGGCCCUAAGCACCCAACCCAGGCCCCAGCCGGCGGUGGGGAGGGGGCGGCGACCGAGUAGCGGGAGCCACUUGGCGGGGGCUGCGAUGCAGCCCGAGAGAGACCAAGUUGACUCCUUACACGAUUCCACUGCUGUUUUAUCACUUCAGCAGGGCCAGCUGACGCGGGGGACCUCUAGCCAGGGAACUGGCGCUCCAGCCUCCCGGAGGGCGAGCUGACGGCUCCGAAAGAGCCUCUCAGCAGGCCGGGCGCCCACGGGGGCGGGNNNNNNNNNNNCUGCAGAACACAAGCCGCUCCCAGCUCUCCACACUGCUCCUCGAGAGCCAGGAUGCAAGCAAAACCACAGCAACCAGACACCCCUGGGGACUCACUCUAAAUGUCAUUUCUAUCGAGAUUCUUGCAAGGCAAACAUGGAGAGCUUGAAGAAAACAGAUCAGCUGUAAUGUCGAGAUAAUGCUUGACUUCAUGGUGAUAACAGAUUAUGAAGGAAGACAACAGAACUACUACAAACUUUAGAGUCCCUGGUGGCCCAGCAGUUGGGGAUUCAGCGUGAGCACUACUGAGCAUGGGUUUGAUCCCCGGCCAGCGACUUCCCUGCAAGCUGUGCGCACGGCCAGAAAACAAACAAACAAAAUGUUACAAAGAGUGAAAGCACCUCUCCCUCCUGCUCCAUCAGCAAACGCAAAAAGGUGCCCAGUGGGCAGAUGUUCGCUGGGCCUGCGCGGCGUGCCCGCCCCAGCCACCAAGCUAAGGACAGACACCGCCCCUUUCAGCUCAGAGCCGGCCCUGGGGGCCUCUGCGUCACAGCCCCUGCUGGGGUCGGUGCCCACUGGGAGUCCUGCACCAAUGGUCUGCACCCGCAGCCACAGCCCCUGGGCACCCUUCUAGACCACUCCCCAAACCCACCCCCAGGCGCCCCCGAUGCUACCUCUUCCUGCUCCUGGGAGGCAGGCCACCAGGCUGCCCUGCGCUCCUGCAGCUGCUCUCCUGCCCUUCAGCCCCACAGCACCCCUCUCCAAAGCCAUCUCAUCACUUCCCUGCUCACUCAGUGGCCUCUCGAGGCUCUUGGUGAGACUUUCAAUGCUCACACAUGUGGCACAGCAGGUUAAGAAUCCAGCGCUGUCACUGCUGUGGUGCAGGUUUGAUUCCCUGGCCUGGGAACUUCCAUAUGUUGUAGGCAAGGCAUGCAUGCAUGCAUGAAUAAAUAAAAUCACCCAGCUUGAGGCACGCCCAGGCCCAGCCGAUGCCCCCUCCCCUGCACUCCCCUCAAUCCUACUGUGCCUGCCUUCCAGCUGGCAGGCCCUCACUCAACACUGGGUCGCCCACAGCAGAGCCCUGGAGGCCUCACCCAUAGCUCCUACUCAUCCUUGGGCCCCGGCUCCAGCCAGGUGACUAGGUCAGCAGCCCGCUGGUAAGCCUGGCACCUGUACGCACUCACUGCCAUCCUUCCCGCUGGACUGGAGGGCCCAGGAAGGCAGGGUCUACCUCCCCUGGUCAAGCUGCUCCCCAAGUCCCUGGGGCACAGAGACUCAACGACUCUUCUCAAGAGCUGGUCUCAGGGAAGGUUACCUUCUCCACCGGGUGGGGGCCAGUGGGGGGCGCCUGCAUGUUUUUCUAAGUUAAGAAUAUAUUCAACAGCUUGAAAUAUCUUUUCACCAAAAAAAGACUGAAUAAAGCUUUAGCC
rnacentral:lncRNA from 1 species